UUUCAAAUGAUAUUCGAAUAUGAUACUAUAUUGAAUAUUUUUACAACCCUUUACUUGAAACACAAAUUUAAAUCUUCAAAUGCAGGCCUAUCUCAACGGAGCCUAAAGGCAUUACAUCUCCCAUUUUGUUUCAAGUUGAUGCACUGAUCCUGUCAACUUCCCGUGAAUUUAUGAAUUGAUGCAUUGCAGAACUCCAUUCGAUUUAAGCAGAAAAGGCUUUUGGUCUGUUGUGGAAAUCAUGUUCUUUAUUUCUCAAUAGUCAAUACAUUACAGAAUUCUGCUUAUGGAGAUUACGGUGAUUCUGGUUGCAAAGAAGCAUUAUUUAGAAGCUUUUCGUGUUUAAAAUAGACAAAUGAAAGUUGCAGGAUUAACAAAAAAAUCAACCUGAGAAAAAUUCACGCCCAAACAAAUUUCUAUUGACAUAAAAAAACAGUUAAACCGUGUUCCUGAACUUUCUUUGUAAUGCCUGCGGGGGUUAGUUCAGUUCCCUUUGCAUUAUGCUUCUCCUUAGGAACACAUUUAUCCAAAUCAUGAGAUGAGAAGAGAGAGGAAUUUUCUACAUAAGUGGAGAAUAAAACAUUGCUUCCUUGCAAUGAGAAUGGAGUAAGGAUUGAGAAGUUGUCAGAAACACUCUGGCAGUUCUGCGUAAAACUUGUUGAGAUCUUUGAUAAUUUCUUACUGAAACUUGAAUCAUUUAUUUCAUGUCCGAGUUUUUUUUUUUUUUCCUUUUGUCGAGAAACACGAAAUAUCUAUUGCAAUGGUGGAGAGUUGUGCAUUGUUAGUACCUAUUUCCAUGAACCUGCAGAUUCAAAACAUACAGCCCAGUUAAGUUUGGAUAUUAACCAAAUCAUCUUGUACGAUCAGUCAUAUCCAUUUACUUUCUUCAGUGUUUUUGUUCUGGUUUGAAAUUGGUCACUCUGUUUUAAAGUUAAUUCAUACUCACAUCAAAACCAACAAGAGUUCUGCAGUAAGUGGUGUUUGUGAGCACUGUACUGGUGGAUCCGCACUCACUAUCUUUCAGCGAUACUGUUGAUCUGUCAAGUUUAAUUGACCAUGGGUAAUGGUAAUUCUGAGCCGUGGCCCCAACAUGUGAAGAUGAACGCUGCAUCCGCAUAGCCCUUGGGACAUUCCUUCCUUCCACUGAUGUCCUCCUCCUGCUUGGUUGCCGCUCAAAUGAGUCUGGCCUUUGUUUCGGUGCACUGUGUGACCGAACCUUUGCUUUGGAAGAUUCUGUAUUUGCCAUGUAAUUUGGAAAUAAUGGGUAGUCAUAGGAUAAUGAUUCUGCAUAGUCUGGUCGGGGAAAAGCAAAUGGAAUUCUUGAUGGAUCAGGUUUUGACACUGCAGAGUCGUACUGGGGGCUGCUUUGCGCUGUGUUGAAGGAAUAGUCCUCAAAAUGACCACUGCAGGUUUUGGGGCUUAUGUCGGUCAGAGCUGAUGGAGCUGGAGAGAUUUGGUAGUUGUCUGGCUUCGUGUGUGCACGAUUUGAUGAUGCAUUAUAUGUGGAAAAUCUAUGCUCUACUCGUUCUGCUUGUGGUUGUUGUGAAUAGCUAUUUCUGCUCUUUGUGCUUCCCUUUGAUUGUCCAAGAUCCAUCUCCACAAUCUUGAUGUUCUCCUCCAUGCCUCCAUCAAUAUCAUAAUUUGUGUGCCUGAAUCUAUUCUCCUGUGUUGAUUUUCUGUGGACUGAUUGUCUCUGACUAGCAGGCUCUGUUUCUUCAGUCAUCCGGAUCCUCUGAGCCCGAGCUCUAGCCUGUACGGUUACCAAUGCCUGCAUGCACCGGAGCGUAGCAGUGGCCUGUUUCCUCACCAGAUGACCCCUUACCAGUGCCUGCAACUUCACCAGUCCUUUCAAUGCACAUAAUGCUUUUCUUGCCAAAUAAGAACGGAAGACACACUGAAUCUUUAAGGCAGCAGCCUCUUCAAUUGCGCUGGUUCUCCCAGUGGCAGUUGCAGUUAGACGGAUCACAGCUGCUACAGCCUGAGCAGCUGCCACGGCUGCAUCAGCAGCAGCAGCUGUGGCAGCUGCCAUAGCCAUUGCAUGCUUCUUCUGCUCAUUUUCUGAAUCCAAUGUAGCCUGAACCACUGGUUGCGGCGAGGCAGUUGUUUCUGCAGAAUUAGUGUCCCUAGGAGCUGCUGCUGUGGCUGAAGAUCUGCGAAAACUCCAUCUUUUUUCUUUUGGAGUAGUUGGCGUCAUUGAAACUGGAGUCACAGCAUUCUCAAUGCUGGUUUCUGAAUUCUGAUUUGUUCUACAUUUUUCUUUCUCCUUCUCCUUGCCUUUCUUUCCUGUCAAGAAACUUCGAAUCCAUUUGCCUGUCUUCCCCAUCACUAUCCAGUCCUUCUAAUUAAGCAAGCAUAGUAUCACGGCAAAAGCAGGUAAAGAAAGAAACAAAUGAGAUGCAGAUCGCUCCCUGUCUAUAUUUCAUAG
rnacentral:misc_RNA from 1 species